rnacentral:rRNA from 1 species
GAUCAUGGCUCAGGAUGAACGCUAGCUACAGGCUUAACACAUGCAAGUCGAGGGAAACGAUAGAGAAAGCUUGUCUUUUCUAGGCGUCGACCGGCGCACGGGUGAGUAACGCGUAUCCAACCUGCCCAUCACUUGGGGAUAACCUUGCGAAAGUAAGACUAAUACCCAAUGACGUCUCUAGAAGACAUCUGAAGGAGAUUAAAGAUUUAUCGGUGAUGGAUGGGGAUGCGUCUGAUUAGCUUGUUGGCGGGGUAACGGCCCACCAAGGCGACGAUCAGUAGGGGUUCUGAGAGGAAGGCCCCCCACAUUGGAACUGAGACACGGUCCAAACUCCUACGGGAGGCAGCAGUGAGGAAUAUUGGUCAAUGGACGAGAGUCUGAACCAGCCAAGUAGCGUGCAGGAUGACGGCCCUAUGGGUUGUAAACUGCUUUUAUAAGGGAAUAAAGUGGGAGUCGUGACUCUUUUUGCAUGUACCUUAUGAAUAAGGACCGGCUAAUUCCGUG